rnacentral:rRNA from 1 species
UAUUGGACAAUGGGGGCAACCUGAUCCAGCCAUGCCGCGUGUGUGAAGAAGGACCUUCGGGUUGUAAAGACAUUUCAGCAGUGAGGAAAGGCGAAGUGGUUAAU